UACGAAGGGGGCUAGCGUUGCUCGGAAUCACUGGGCGUAAAGCGCACGUAGGCGGCUUCUUAAGUCAGGGGUGAAAUCCUGGAGCUCAACUCCAGAACUGCCUUUGAUACUGGGAGGCUCGAGUCCGGGAGAGGUGAGUGGAACUGCGAGUGUAGAGGUGAAAUUCGUAGAUAUUCGCAAGAACACCAGUGGCGAAGGCGGCUUACUGGUCCGGAACUGACGCUGAGGUGCGAAAGCGUGGGGAGCAAACAGGG
rnacentral:rRNA from 1 species